GUGCCAGCCGCCGCGGUAAGACGAACCGUGCGAACGUUGUUCGGAAUCACUGGGCUUAAAGGGCGCGUAGGCGGACCGCCAAGUCCGAGGUGAAAUCCUCCAGCUCAACUGGAGAACUGCCUCGGAUACUGGAGGUCUCGAGGGAGGUAGGGGCAAGCGGAACUGUGGGUGGAGCGGUGAAAUGCGUUGAUAUCCACAGGAACUCCGGUGGCGAAGGCGGCUUGCUGGACCUUUUCUGACGCUGAGGCGCGAAAGCCAGGGGAGCAAACGGGAUUAGAAACCCGUGUAGUCC
rnacentral:rRNA from 1 species